rnacentral:rRNA from 1 species
UACGUAGGGUCCGAGCGUUGUCCGGAUUUAUUGGGCGUAAAGAGCUCGUAGGCGGUUCCGUAAGUCAGAUGUGAAAACUCAGGGCUCAACCCGGAGACGCCAUCUGAUACUGCGGUGACUGGAGUCUGGUAGGGGAACACGGAAUUCCUGGUGUAGCGGUGAAAUGCGCAGAUAUCGGGAGGAACACCGGUGGCGAAGGCGGUUCUCUGGGCCUGUACUGACGCUGAGGAGCGAAAGCGUGGGGAGCGAACAGG